GUGCUCGCUUCGGCAGCACAUGUACUAAAGUCGGAACGAUUCAGAGAGGAUUAGCCCGCCCCUGUGCUCGGAGGACACACACAGUCGUGAAGCAUUCUGUGUUUUU